UACGGAGGGUGCGAGCGUUAAUCGGAAUGACUGGGCGUAAAGGGCAUGUAGGCGGAUGGAUAAGUUAGAUGUGAAAUCCCUGAGCUUAACUUAGGAACUGCAUUUAAAACUGUUUAUCUAGAGUAUUGUAGAGGAAGGUAGAAUUCCAUGUGUAGCGGUGAAAUGCGUAGAGAUGUGGAGGAAUACCGGUGGCGAAGGCGGCCUUCUGGACAGAUACUGACGCUGAGGUGCGAAAGCGUGGGGAGCAAACAGG
rnacentral:rRNA from 1 species